UGUAGUUGUGUGUCUAGAGAUAUGCUUGUGUAUUUGACGUGCAGUGUGUGUAGGUGAGUGUGUGCAGGUGUGUGCAGGUCACAUUGUGUUAAUACAAUUUCACAUCACACAAAAGAUAAGCAGCAGAAGCCUGUAGUCAUGCCAGGGUGGGGGGUGUGUGUGUGUGUGUGUGUGUGUGUGUGUGUGUGUGUGUGUGUAGAUUGCUGGUCUUGGCAUCACCACUAACGAGCGGAUGAAUGCGAGACGCUACAAACACUUCAAAGUCACAGCGACAUCUAUUGAGAGUCCUUUCAAUCAUGGAUGUGUAAGGAACCUGAUAGAUUUCUUCGAGCUGCGCUGCUGUGGGCUGCUGAGGCCGACACUUGUCGACUGGACCACCCAGUACACCAUUGAGUACGAUCAGACAUCUGGCUCGGGAUACCAACUAGUCUAACUCACCGCAUGCGUGCGCACACACACACACACACACACACACAGCGUAAGUGAAGGAGUGGGGGAAGAGCCUCAGUGUGUUUAAUGGGAUCAACAUCUAUGUUCACCUGGAGCUGCUUUAUCAAGAGACUGUUGUGUACCUGUACACACACACACUUUGUUAGAUUAAUUGUUCCAUGUUUGUCUUGCUUUAUCUUUUCACUGACUUUUUAAUACUUUGUGGUGUGUGUGUGUGUGUGUGUGUGUGUGUGUGUGUGUGUGUGUGUGUGUGUGUGUGUGUGUGAGAGAGAGAGAGUGUGAAGCAGGGUGUGUGUGGGGGGGGGGAGUAUUUCUGGGUGAUAAUAGACAUUCUCUCAGCCCCGCCUUCACUUAUAGAGUUGACUGUAUAAAGAGCAGCUCUGUGAUUGGCUGUAGCAUUAAUGCGGUGAUAAGGGAAGGGAAUUUGUCCAAUACCACACAAUCUUGUCUGAUUAUUUUCUCCAGCAGCCAAUCAGAGCAGUCUGAGUGAGUCAUGUGAUUGUCAGUAUGAUAGAUGUAGGAGCACCACAGUGAUGUGGAUUUAUUCAUAAUGUGACCAUAUUUAUUUGAAACCUAUUUAAUAUAACUGAAAUGAUAUUAUUUUUACUGUGUCUGUUUUAAAGUGUGUGUUUGAGAAAGAGAUGGAAAAUGUAUGAAUGUGAAUCUUUCAGUCAUUUUUAAAUUCAGUUAUGAGGAACUGCGAUGAGGCUCCGCCCACUCUUUCAUGCACUGAUACAUUUUGCCCAUCGUUAACUGAUGUUCAGAUGGAGCUGUUGCCUCGGUAACACUCUUCCAUUUCCUGUUUGAUCUCGGACUCUGAUGUAUAAAUGUGUAAAUACGGCUGAGUUUUUGUCUGUGAGAUUCAUUUCUGUUGUCAGUGUUCGUUUUUGCUGCUCCUCCAACUGAAGUUAUUUUUACUUUAAAUGGAAACGCUUGUAAUUUACGCUGUGUGUGUGUGUGAGACAGAGAUCGAUCAAGAAAGCGUCUUGCUGCAUGAGCAACGCUCACACUAAACUCUAUACAGUGAAUGUUUAGUGUUAACGUUUCCUUACUUUUUAUUUUUUACAUUUCAGACUGUUUGUUUGUGUGUGUCUGAGAGUGUUUGAGAGUGUGUAUGCCUGUGUGCACAUCAGCCCUGUGCAUUGUGAUGUAUUUAAAUGUUUCAUAUUAAUAAUUAGAUUUUUUGUUAUUUUUGCUGGACCUGUUUUUUUCACUGGAUGUAAAAAAAAAAAACUAGAACAAACUAUCAGUUACUAGAGAGAGAGAGAGAGAGAGAGAGAGAGAGAGUGUGUGUGUGUGUAAAAGCAUUGUUAUAAUAAUGAAUAUAUUACGUCUCCUUGUCAUUUUCCUCACUGUCUGUAAAAUCAUUUUCACCUCAAGCUUCAGCAUGACUUCAUUUUACUGGCUUUAAUAAAAAAAAGAAAACUUA